AGGAGCGGAGCAACGGGAGACUGUCACGCUCCGUUCUGCGGGAGCCCAGGGGUGCGAUUCCCCUGAGCCAUCUGAC
rnacentral:ncRNA from 1 species